UACGAAGGGGGCUAGCGUUGCUCGGAAUCACUGGGCGUAAAGCGCACGUAGGCGGCUUUUUAAGUCAGGGGUGAAAUCCUGGAGCUCAACUCCAGAACUGCCUUUGAUACUGGGAAGCUUGAGUCCGGAAGAGGUGAGUGGAACUCCGAGUGUAGAGGUGAAAUCGUAGAUAUUCGGAAGAACACCAGUGGCGAAGGCGGCUCACUGGUCCGGUACUGACGCUGAGGUGCGAAAGCGUGGGGAGCAAACAGG
rnacentral:rRNA from 1 species